GUGCAAUUGGCGAAACAUUUUAUUCAAACAAAUGUAGAACCAGAAUGGAUGGUUUUGUGCUUAUUACCGGUUCUUCCUCCCGAAUUGAGACCUAUUGUUUAUAGGUCUGGAGAUAAAGUAGUGACUUCAGACAUUAAUGAACUUUAUAAGAGAUUUAUCCGUCGGAACAACAAUCUUGCCUAUCUAUUAAAAAGAAGUGAAUUAGCGCAGCAGAUUUAGUAAUGUCCAGAAAAAUUGGUACAAGAAGCCGUGGAUACACUUCUUGAUAGUGGGUCCCGUGGGCAACCACCAAGGGAUGGUCACAAUAAAGUAUACAAAUCACUUUCAGAUGUAAUUGAAGGUAAAGAGGGAAGGUUUCGCGAGACUCUGCUUGGGAAACGGGUCGAUUACUCGGGGCAUUCUAUCAUUGUUGUGGGUCCUUCGCUUUCAUUACAUAUGUGGAUUCCCUCUAGAGAUAGCAAUAAAGCCUUUUCAACUAUUUGUAAUUCGUGAUUUAAUCACGAAAUGCGCCACUUCUAA
rnacentral:rRNA from 1 species